UGCGGUAUUCCUGACUGAAUCAAGAUACGCUGGGGAAGAGGCAUCUGAAGAUAGCCCGGGUUCUGACCUCGGCCCUGCUGCCUAACUGCCUGGUGACUUCAGCGCAAGGCCUCGCUGAAGCGAACCCAUCGUGGGAAGGGCGCGGAGAAAGCGGGGAGAAAGAGCAGGGGGACGUCGGGCCUGCGCCUGGCACCGCCGCUACCUGGAUUCGCGGGCCCCUCACACACUCACCUGCCGGUAUUCUAAUCACAGAAUUACUGGAGCAUCAAGAAGUGCCUGCAUGCUUGGAAGGGCUUCCAGGCAGAUGAACACACCUCAGCACCGGGUGGCAUUUUCCCAGGGUGCAACCCGGACCGGCUCUGGGUCACACUGACAAGGCCCUGGCAGAGUGUCUUGCACACAGUGGCAUUCCUAUAAAUGUGGUUGACUGGCCUGUCGUUAUUUGGAGUUUGACACAGCUGUGUCAUAGAAGAAACAGAAAGAAAAGGGGUCUCUGCUGCUCUGGAUUCAUGGUCUCAAAUGGUGGUAUU
rnacentral:lncRNA from 1 species